GGCAACAGAACUUCACUGGAUUUGGCGGAGUUUGACGUUGAAAUAGCCAUAUGUGUUGUUUUUGUGUCGAACUUGCAUAUGCGUCACAUUGAAACUGAGAAUGUCUUGAUGUGUGACAUUUUGGUCAUUUCGUUCUUUGAGAUUCUGGAGAGAGAAGUACAUCUGGGCGCAUGGUCAAUCCAUGCGGCGAUAUGGCCUCAGCAGAAGCCUGACUUGCAGAUCAGUACAGAGCUGUUAUGAAAGCCUCUGGGGGCUUGGUGGAUAAGUACGAGAAAGCACUGUCUGAGGAGAUGGCCAAACGACAGCGGUUGUGUGGUGGUGACCUCACUGAGUUCCCUGAUUUUUAGUUCCCUGGUGAGUCAAUUGUGUGUUCAUAAGUAUCCGUCCUUUGUUCAUUUUGGUAAGAUUUGGUUGUAGUUUAAAUGACAUUUAAAAAGUCAGGUCAGUCUAGGCAUACGUUCUACUAUCCUUUGAUCAUCUGUGAUGCACUUUAUAUCAAUAAUCUACAUCUUAAUUUAGGAGCAUAGAUUUCACAGUGUACAG